UGGCCAUUGAAUCGCGUGUCGUAAUUUUUAAUUAGUUAUUUGUACCUAAGGCCCAGAUUGUAACAAGCUGCUUUCCAUCUCGUUGCACACUAGUUGGUGUUGCGUGCUGAAUUUCUGCUGAAUUAUGUCUUGGCCUCAAUUUGAGUGGCGGGUGGACGUGGGCAUCUGAUUCCAUCCAUAGUGGGCAUCUGAUUCCAUUUAUCUCUUUAUGGUUCGCAUGGAAUCUAAUCGUCGGCGAGCUGUCCUGAAUCGAAGGACUUCAGUGACGAAAAGAAACUAGUGCCAAGAAGAUGCUCCAUACUCAUCGGUGACGGAGGGACAUCGGGUUAGAGAGGAGAUAAUCAUCUCAUUUUUGGGGGAUUUGAAAACUCCCGAAUGUCCUAGACCGUCGACUAGGAACUGAUGAGCUUCUACGGUCUACAUGAAUCUGUGCCAAUUGAAAGUGGGCAAUUCAUUUGAUGACAGCCGUCCUAGUUCGUAACCGAGUUCUGACUUUUUGUCAGCAGGAAGUGGAUUCAAAACUUGCGGCUUAGAAGAAGUCCAAAAUUUUUGUAUACGUCUCGUGCUACAGUUUUUUAAUUCGGUUAAACUUCAUUUAUGGUCAGCAUUGUAUUGGCAUAUCGUUAGAUUUUUAUGAUCAGGUUCUUAGAGUUUUCAAAUAAAACUCCAUGGCCUGGCUGUCACCACUUUGACUUAG